AUUUAGUUGCCUAGUCCCAAAUAGGACGAAACGCGCGUCCUGGAU
rnacentral:hammerhead_ribozyme from 1 species